rnacentral:misc_RNA from 1 species
UUAACUAUUGAUAUAGUGCUCGGACGACACGCACUCCAGGGUUUGGUCUCUGGGGAGCGGGGCUCCCCAAAGCAACAGCGUUGUAGACACGGGUGGGAGAUCUACCCUCGCGGGCACGAACUCUGUAAUGAUCCCUCCGCAGGUUCACCUACGGAGA